ensembl:lncRNA
UGAUCAUCAACUCCAGUUCCUCUGAAAUCACCACCACCUCUAUCUGGCCAGAGAUUGCACUGUGCUCAUUAACAUCAUCAGCUGCCCCUCAGGAGGAGAGACUAGAGGCAGUCUGUGAAAGAAAGAAGGCGACUGUGGAAGAGGAGAGAUAGCGCUUUCUUCCGAGUGUGUUACGCUGCAGUGUGCUGCAGCAUGAGCGGCAGUUCGAAAUAAUCUCUCCUAGCACACACACACUGCAGAAAUAUACACAUCCCAAUCUAACAUGUGUAGAACACUGAACUCACCGACACGAUGCAGUCAAAUUUAAAAGAGACUUCAUAUCCGUCCUGGGCCGGAACCAGAUGCUUUGCACAGGUGUGUUCGGAUUUUGCUUAAACUCACCUGGGGACAUUUUCCUACACGCCUUCCUCCUCACACAGUGAACAAGCGUACAGGGUGGAUGCAAGCACCAGGAACUCUUCCGGAUUUUUAUUUCUAUUUUUUCUAUUUUUCCUAUUAUUUUGUAGGAUUUUUUCCUUUUUUCUGUUAUGAUCCGGUGUGAGGAGACAUCAGUAAACAGUGUUUUUGGUGAUGCUUUUUGGCCGAAUUUUCUUUCUGGCUUGUCUGCCUUUUUAAAAAAAAUAAAAAAAAAUAAAAAAGAAUUUGUGGAACGCUGAGUGUAACACUGCAUGAGGCAACUGAUGUCUCAAGGCCAUCGCAGCAACCAUAGUCCCAGCAACCACAGUGAGAACGUCCAUGCGGAACUGCGAACUGAACUUGUUCUGCAAUCUGCUUAUAGUAACCCUAACAAACCUAGGUGCGUCCAUAUUCAGCUGCUCAGACCUGCAGGUCCUUACUUUGAUCUGGUGUAAGGACGCAUCAGUAAACCAGGAGAAUUCGCUGGUUUUAUGGUGACCAUCUACGUUGCUGUUAUCACGUUGGAAUUCUGUCUAAAGGACUUCCUGUUUUAUACCUUCAUUCUUUUUUUCUUUUUUUUUUUAAUGAUCAUUUUUGUAUUUGGUCUAAAAUUUGCCUGCUUCCCACUUCUGUCAAGUUUUUGGACGUGGAAUAUCUUUCAUUACGGGACUUCUUUUAACAUUUGGGUCGUCAAAAGAAAUCAUUUCAGUUCAUCUGAGACACAACGUCAAAACCGGUACGGAAAGCAGAAGCAAGAGAGAGAUACAGAGAAGAAAACACUGAGUACUGGAUUCAUCCUUUUAAAAGCCACGACCCUGAAUCUGAUUAUAAUUUGAUCGUUAUUUAACGACUAGUUAGUGAGGCACCUUUUAGCUUUAGUUUUAAGUGUUCAGAAGAAAGUAUUUCUAAAUACACAGCACAAUCAUUCACACCCAAAACUAGGUGUGCAUCUUCGUCGGUCUUGCUCUACCAGUUGUACUAGAUUUUUAUUUCCUUCCAGUGAGUUUUUAACCGAAUGCUUUCACUGUCACUCGGUGUUGAAAGGUAGCUUUGGAUGGAAGAUCUGUGAUGUCCAAUGUGUAAAAAUUUGUGUAAAUGAAAGAAGAAAAAGAAAGAAACAUGACUCUAAACAUAAACAUCAAACACAAAGAAGAAGCUUAUACAGAAAGCAGAAGAAAAUCCUGACAGUGAGAACAAACUCACAACAUGAUUGGAUGAAUUCUCAGCUAGACCCUGAAACCGACGCGAUGACGAGUUCACACUGAUGAUGGAGUGAAACUGUCAGUGGAGGAGACGGAACCAGCACGGACCCAGAGCUCAGUGCGACCGUUCCACUCCGACUACGACACCUACGACCUACGAGAUUCUGAUGAAGAGGCAGAGGAGGCAGAAGAUGCAGAUGAGGCAGAGGAGGUUUCCCAGCUGGAAAAUAUUCUACAGCUUUCUGUGCGUGAAGAAGAAAGAGGAAACCUUCUUGCCAGGUCUUUGGAUGAGUCUUCGGAGGUCAACAACUAUACAGAUGGUGGAGUGAAACUGUCAGUGGAGGAGACGGAACCAGAAUGGACCCAGAGCUCAGUGCGACCGUUCUACUCCGACUACGACACCUACGACCUACGAGAUUCUGAUGAAGAGGCAGAGUGAUCUAACUCUAAACAUGGACCGUGACUACGACUACGAUACGAACUAAACUAACUCUAUGAUAAUCUGCCGCGUUGUGUGCUGGGAGGCGCGCGUUAUAUAUGUGGACAUGAUCAGUGUCUAAACCGCUAGCAGCUGAGAGCAAUACAGACACACGUGAAAUCCCAGCCAAUGGCAGAACAGGGAGGAGACAUGACAGAAACAUAAACAAAACACACAUGUCCAGAUGUCAUUACGGUCAACAAUGGAAAAGCAGGCACUCGCGCAUUCGCGCUUUGAGCACACUGCUUCAAGGGGGAGUCUUGACAGAACCCCCCCCCCCAAAGGCACUCCUCCCGGAGUGCCAUGAGUCCUCCCUUCUCAUUGGCGGCCCCGGGCCCCUGGGCUGAAUGUCCCAAGCAGAGCCAGGAAACCACACGGUGACGGAGCAGGGAAGCAGAGCGACCCCAUGUCACUAUGGUCAACAAUGGAAAAGCAGGCGCUCGCGCAUUUGCGCUUUGAGCACACUGCUUCACGGGGGAAUCAUGACACAGAGGAGGCAGAGCAUAAUAAUAAUAAUAAUAAUAAUAAUAAUAGCUAAUUAUACAGUAAAUGAUAAGUAAUGUAAUUUAUGUUAUAUAAAAAUAUGUAUUGUUUUUUGUGUAUUGUAUAUGCAUUUUUUGUAUCUAAAUAAAGACUGUUGAUAUAUGUCGUUA